UACGGAGGGGGCUAGCGUUGUUCGGAAUUACUGGGCGUAAAGCGCACGUAGGCGGACUGGACAGUCAGGGGUGAAAUCCCGGGGCGCAACCCCGGAACUGCCUUUGAAACUCCCGGUCUUGAGGUCGAGAGAGGUGAGUGGAAUUCCGAGUGUAGAGGUGAAAUUCGUAGAUAUUCGGAGGAACACCAGUGGCGAAGGCGGCUCACUGGCUCGAUACUGACGCUGAGGUGCGAAAGCGUGGGGAGCAAACAGG
rnacentral:rRNA from 1 species